CCGUCAGUUCUAUCAGUGUUCCUGAGUUCCACACUUAAAUCCAGCUUUACUACUGCUUCAGAACAAACUUCUUCCUGCCUUUCCUGGGCCACGCCACAGCCUCCUAACUGGUUUUCCUGUUUCCACUCUCCCCUUUCUUUGUCCAUUAUUCACCUAGCAGCAGGGCGAUCUUGCACAAAUCAUUUUCUAUCACCCCUUUGUUUAUAAUUCUUCAGUGGCUUUCCAUCAUAAACAAAAUAAAGGUCCCUACUGCAUAGUCCAGGCUCCGUUUGCCUCUGACCUCACAUCUUUUUGUUUGUUUGUUUGUUUUGUUUUUGAGACAGAGUCUUACUCUGUCACCCAGGCUGCAGUGCAAUGGCAUGGUCUCGGCUCACUGCAACCUCUGCCUCCCGGGUUCAAGCAAUUCUCAUGCCUCAGCCUCCCGAGUAGCUGGGACUACAGGUGCCCGCCACUACACCCAGCUAAUUUUUGUAUUUUUUGUAGAGAUGGGGUUUCACCAUGUUGGCCAGGCUCUCUCGAACUCCUGACCUCAGGUGAUCCACCUGCCUUGGCCUCCCAAGGUGCUGGGAUCACAGGCGUGAGCCACCAUGCACAGCCUGAUGUCACAUCUUACAGCUGUCGUCAUUUGCCAUGCACUAGACAUCCUUGCCUUGUUUCCUUCAAAUAUCCCAGCCUCACUUUAUUUAGGUUUCAUCUUCUUUUUUAAAGUUUUACUCUAUAUGUAUUUCCCUGCACAAUUAAUCGUUUAUUUUUGCUUGGUUUUGAAUUUGAUAUAGUACAAUAUUAUAGGUAGUCUUCUGCAGCUUAAGCUUAGUUCAUUCACUUUCAUUGCUGGAUCGCUUUUGAUUGUGUGAAUUUACAGGUUUGUCUACUCCUCUGACAGUGUACACUUGGGUUCUGAUGAGAACAGUGCAAAUAUUGUCUAGUAUAUAAGGAACUUAUAAUGGGCCAGGCAGUGUUCUCAGUGCUUUUAUAUAUAUGGGCACUAAGAGCAACCCUAUGAGUUGGUAUUAUUACGAUGCUCAUUUUUCAGAUGAGGGAGCAGAGACAUAGGAAGAUGAGUAACUUACCCUUGUCAUCUGGUAAUGAGUGAAAUUGCUGGAUCAUGGACUUCACAUAUGUUUAGCCUCAAAAGAUGAUGCCUAAUAGUUUCUGAAGUGAUUGUACCAGUUGAUACUCCCACCAGCAGCAUAUGAGUUCCCAUCGUGCCGCAUCUUCACACACACCUAGUUUUGCCAAAUUUGUGGGUGUAAAAUGGUAUUUUGAUUUCAAUUUGCAUUUCCCCGAUUCCUAAUGAUUUGAGCAUAUUUUUGUAUAUUUAUUAUCCAUUAGUGUUUCCUCUUCCGGAAACAUGGAGCGUCUGUUCAUGUCUUUUGCCCACUUUUCCAUUGAUUUGUCAGUCUUUUUCUUACUGACUUAUAGUUCUUUCCCUUUGUCAGUAUUAGGAGUUUCAGUCUUCUCUGGGUUCAUGGCUUUGGCUUGUCUUUUUUUUUUUUUUUUUUGUUGAGACAGGGUCUUACUCUGUGAUCCAGGCUGGAGUGCAGUCAUAGCUCACUGCAACCUCGAACUUGAACUCCCGGCCUCAACUGAUCCUCCCACCUCUGCCUCCCAAAGUACUGGAAUUACAGGCAUGAGCUACCACAGCUGCCUUUGGCUUGUCCUUUGAGUCUCUUUUUGGUGUCUCUUGAUGAAUAGAAAUUCCAAAGUCCAUUGUCAAAUAAAAGACUUGUAUCUAGACUAUGUAAAAAACCUAACACUCAGCCGGGCGCAGUGGCUCACGCCUGUAAUCCUAGCACUUUGGGAGGCCGAGGCAAGCGGAUCACUUGAGCUCAGGAGUUCGAAACCAGCUUGGCCAUCAUGGUGAAACCCUGUCUCUACUAAAAAAUACAAAAAAUUAGCUGGGCAUGGUGGUGUGUGCCUGUAAUCCCAGCUACUUGGGAGGCUGAGGCAGGAGAAUCGCUUGAACCCGGGAGGCAGAAGUUGUAGAGAGCCAAGAUCAUGCCACCGCACUCCAGCCUGGGCGACAGAGCGAAACUCCAUCUCA
rnacentral:lncRNA from 1 species